rnacentral:rRNA from 1 species
ACCGACGGGAGCUUGCUCCCUUAGGUCAGCGGCGGACGGGUGAGUAACACGUGGGUAACCUGCCUGUAAGACUGGGAUAACUCCGGGAAACCGGGGCUAAUACCGGAUGCUUGAUUGAACCGCAUGGUUCAAUCAUAAAAGGUGGCUUUCAGCUACCACUUACAGAUGGACCCGCGGCGCAUUAGCUAGUUGGUGAGGUAACGGCUCACCAAGGCGACGAUGCGUAGCCGACCUGAGAGGGUGAUCGGCCACACUGGGACUGAGACACGGCCCAGACUCCUACGGGAGGCAGCAGUAGGGAAUCUUCCGCAAUGGACGAAAGUCUGACGGAGCAACGCCGCGUGAGUGAUGAAGGUUUUCGGAUCGUAAAACUCUGUUGUUAGGGAAGAACAAGUACCGUUCGAAUAGGGCGGCACCUUGACGGUACCUAACCAGAAAGCCACGGCUAACUACGUGCCAGCAGCCGCGGUAAUACGUAGGUGGCAAGCGUUGUCCGGAAUUAUUGGGCGUAAAGCGCGCGCAGGCGGUUUCUUAAGUCUGAUGUGAAAGCCCCCGGCUCAACCGGGGAGGGUCAUUGGAAACUGGGGAACUUGAGUGCAGAAGAGGAGAGUGGAAUUCCACGUGUAGCGGUGAAAUGCGUAGAGAUGUGGAGGAACACCAGUGGCGAAGGCGACUCUCUGGUCUGUAACUGACGCUGAGGCGCGAAAG